AAAAAUUUUGAUUAUAUCCUCAAUAUUUAAUGAUUUUGCUUCUGAUUUUUCUAUAGCAAUUAUAGUUAAGCUAGAUAGAUUGUUGUGAAGCAUAGAAUUUCUCAAAUAUGAUUUAAUUCUUUUCAUACAUGAAAAAGUUCUUUCACAUGCUGCUGAAGAUACAGUAUUCUAGUAUGAUUAAAUUUAAUUUUUGGGGUGGGCCACAGGGAGGGCCCGAGAUUUUUUAAAGUGGGCCCGGGCCCACCCCUGGCGCCGCCACUGAUUCGUGUAUAUACGCUUGUGUGUGUAAUUAAUGUACACAAGUAACAAUUCAGAGGUGACGUUAAACGGUGCCUCUCUGACGUCAUCGGAAUAUUGCCGCCGACUGAAAUAUGAGGGUGAGACGCCGCCUCACUUACCUCACCAUCAAAACCGCCACUGAACUAUGAGAAACGGGGUAUAUAAGAGAGUUCCAAACAGA